GAUGAACGCUGGCGGCGUGCCUAAUACAUGCAAGUCGAGCGAACAGACGAAGAGCUUGCUCCUCUGACGUUAGCGGCGGACGGGUGAGUAACACGUGGAUAACCUACCUAUAAGACUGGGAUAACUUCGGGAAACCGGAGCUAAUACCGGAUAAUAUAUUGAACCGCAUGGUUCAAUAGUGAAAGACGGUUUUGCUGUCACUUAUAGAUGGAUCCGCGCCGCAUUAGCUAGUUGGUAAGGUAACGGCUUACCAAGGCAACGAUGCGUAGCCGACCUGAGAGGGUGAUCGGCCACACUGGAACUGAGACACGGUCCAGACUCCUACGGGAGGCAGCAGUAGGGAAUCUUCCGCAAUGGGCGAAAGCUUGACGGAGCAACGCCGCGUGAGUGAUGAAGGUCUUCGGAUCGUAAAACUCUGUUAUUAGGGAAGAACAAAUGUGUAAGUAACUAUGCACGUCUUGACGGUACCUAAUCAGAAAGCCACGGCUAACUACGUG
rnacentral:rRNA from 1 species